rnacentral:rRNA from 1 species
CGGGGAAUUUUGGACAAUGGGCGCAAGCCUGAUCCAGCCAUGCCGCGUGCGGGAAGAAGGCCUUCGGGUUGUAAACCGCUUUUGUCAGGGAAGAAAUCUUCUGAGUUAAUACCUCGGGAGGAUGACGGUACCUGAAGAAUAAGCACCGGCUAACUACGUGCCAGCAGCCGCGGUAAUACGUAGGGUGCAAGCGUUAAUCGGAAUUACUGGGCGUAAAGCGUGCGCAGGCGGUUUUGUAAGACAGAGGUGAAAUCCCCGGGCUCAACCUGGGAACUGCCUUUGUGACUGCAAGGCUUGAGUGCGGCAGAGGGGGAUGGAAUUCCGCGUGUAGCAGUGAAAUGCGUAGAUAUGCGGAGGAACACCGAUGGCGAAGGCAAUCCCCUGGGCCUGCACUGACGCUCAUGCACG